ensembl:lncRNA
GGAUUUCCGAAGAGAAAAAGCAUGAUUUUCUGCUUAAAUGGCGGAUUUGUGAAGAGAAAACGCGUGUUUUUCGCUUAAAUGGGGGACUUGCAAAUUGAAAAUGUGCGAUUAUCGGGUUAAAUGGGGGAUUUUCGAAGAGAAAACACGUGUUUUCCACAUAAAUGGGGGAUUUGCGAAGAGAAAACGCGUGGUUUUCGCAUAAAUGGGGGAUUUGCAAAUUGAAAAUGCGUGUUUUUCGCUUAAAUGGGGGAUUUGCGAAGAGAAAACGCGUGGUUUUCGGGUUAAAUGGAAGAUUCCUGAAGAGAAAACACGUGAUUUUUGCUUAAAUGGCGGAUUUGUGAAGAGAAAACGCGUGUUUUUCGCUUAAAUGGGGGAUUUCUGAAGAGAAAACGCGUGAUUUUCGGGUUAAAUGGGAAAUUUUCGAAGAGAAAACACGUGUUUUCCACAUAAAUGGGGGAUUUGCGAAGAGAAAACACGUGAUUUUCAGGUUUAAUGGAAGAUUCAUGAAGAGAAAACGCGUGAUUUUCAAGUUAAAUGGGGGAUGUCCGAAGAGAAAACGCGUGAUUUUCGCUGAAAUGGGGAUUUGAGAAGAGAAAAUUCGUGAUUUUCGCAUAGAUGGGGGAUUCUCGAAGAGAAAACUCUUGAUUUUCGCUUAAAUGGGGGUUUUGCGAUGGGAAAACGUGUGAUUUCUGGUUAAAUGGGGGAUUUCUGAAGAGAAAACUCGUGAUUUUUGUGUUAAUUGGGGGAUUUGCAAAGAGAAUUGCGUGAUUUUCGCUUAAAUGUUGGAUUCUCUGAGAGAAAACGCGUGAUUUUCGCUUAAAUGGGGGAUUUCCGAAGAGAAAACGCAUGAUUUUCUGGUUAAAUGGGGGAUUUGCGAAGAGAAAACACAUGAUUUUUGCUUAAAUGGGGGAUUUGAGAAAACGCGUGAUUUUCGUUAAAUGUUGGAUUCUCGAAGAGAAAACGCGUGAUUUUCGCUUAAAUGGGGGAUUUGAGAAAAGAAAACGCGUGAUUUUCAGGUUAAAUGGAAGAUUCCUGAAGAGAAAACGCGUGAUUUUUGCUUUAAUGGCGAUUUUGUGAAGAGAAAACUUGUGUUUUUCGCUUAAACGGGGAAUUUGUGAAGAGAAAACGCGUGAUUUUCG